GACGAACGCUGGCGGCGUGCCUAAUACAUGCAAGUAGAACGCACAGUCUAUACCGUAGCUUGCUACACCAUAGACUGUGAGUUGCGAACGGGGGAGUAACGCGAAUCUAACCUGUCGGGUAGCGGGGGGUAACUAUUGGUAACGAUAGCUAGUACCGCAUAAUAUUGAUUAUUGCAUGAUAAUUGAUUGCAAGCGGCUAUUGAAUCGCUGCCAUAGGGACCUGCGUUGGAUUAGGUAGUAGGGGAGGUAACGGCCCACCUAGGGGACGGUACAUAGCCGAGCUGGGAGGGUGGUCGGCCACACUGGGACUGGGACACGGCCCAGGCCCCUACGGGAGGCAGCCGGAGGGAAACUUCGGACAUUGACGAAAGUCUGACCGCGCAACGCCGCGGGAGGGAAGAAGGGUUUCGGGUUGUAAAGGUCUGUUGUAAGGGAAGAAAGGGUGUUAGAGUGGAACGUUGACACUGUGACGGUACCUUACCAGAAAGCGACGGCUAACUACGUG
rnacentral:rRNA from 1 species